rnacentral:lncRNA from 1 species
UUGGAAAUAGUUUACAAUCUCUCAAAACAUGAUUUUAGUAACUAAUACUCACAAGGGAAGAGAGAAAAACUGAUGUUAAGCCUUGCGAGGUUUCGAUUGACAUUCCGGGUAAUGAAUGUCUAUCAGGAUAUCGUGGCGGUUGUCACGGGCUCGAUGGGAGUUCCAGGUCGCGAAAGUUACUCUAUUUUCAAACCAUCAUUCAAUUUCAAGACAAUGUUAUAAAAUCAUUUCAUUAAAUCACAUUUUAAUUAGAAAACACAAAGAUUUACCAUUUAACUCAUUUUUCAUAAAAUCACAAAAUCCGAUAAAAACCACUUUAGAUAAUUAAGAUGAUAGUAAGGUUACUCACUAUUUCGGGAGUCGAAUUCUGAGUACUCCAAUUCUUAAUCCUCGGGUACUAUCUAUUUACUUUUGCCAAAAAACUCACCACCUAGACAUAAUGCAUAAUAAGCCAUUUACUACAUUUGUGCUAAAUUGUUAUAAAAUCAAUUCAGGCUCUAUAUUAAUGCAGGAAAUGGGAUGUAAAUUGUUUGGAUUAUCGUCUAAACACGGUGUUCUACACAAAUUCAAUUGUGUACCUAAAUAAAAUCGUGUUAGCCUAAUUCGAUCUAUCAUUCGAUUAAUUGGCUAAUAUGUCCAAUUCAACUCCAAUAAUUCCAUUUUUCUUCCAAUUUUCCAAACCAUCAAACACAAUUUAAGUAACUUGAAAUAUGGCAAAAUCAUCCUCACAUUUUCUCUUGGAAAAUUCAGCCAUGGUGAGUGCAUCAAUACUAUGAUUUUUCCUACUUGAUUUUCUCACCGUAAUUCAUCAUUUCUUAACAAAUGCACUUGAAAUAAAAUCAAAUCCACCAUCCACACUCUACAUGGAAGAUUCGGCCAAUGAUGGGUUAUGGAAGAACAUGAAUUUUUCUUAUUUGUUUUUCAUGCUACACAUCACUAACUAACUAAAAACACUAAAAUACAUUGAAAUCUAACCAAAUCCAAGUUCAAAACUCCUCCCCCCAUGUCCGGCCAGCAAGGGUAGCCUCAUGCAAACUUGAUUCUCAACCAUGGAAAAUGAAAAAGAAUGCAUAGGAAAGGUAAAUCACAAGCUAGAAUUGAAAAAUCUUACCUUUUGUCACUUGAUUCUUUGAAAUUUUGUGAAUUUCUCUUGAAUUUCUUAGCUAGGUUUUUGUUCUUCUUUUUUUCAUCCCUUUUCUUCCUUUGGCCGGCCAGAG